GAGCGCUGUGCAGAGAUGGUGCAGCCCAGUUCAGGGCGGUGCGGGGAGGCAGGGAAGUUUCUCUUUUCAUUUCCUCUGUAAUUUGCAAAACUCCCGGAACUUUCUUUUUCUGCAGACGAGGGAAUUUCAGAGGGGCCCGGUUGGUGGAGCUGCAGGAGAAGAGCCUCCCGUGUGCGAGGACAAUGUGUGCACAAACAGCCCCCUCAGAAUCUGGGGGUGGCUGGGGAGGACAGAACUUCUUCAUUCAGGGUUCGAGUGGGAGCUGCAGGGUUCUGUGUGAAGCAGCAGGGCUGAGGGAGAGGCCAUGGUGGGAAUGUGGGGUGGAGCAAACGUAGAUUUUUAUGUGUUGGCGAGCACUCUGUCAUCCAAAGGACCUGGGCUACACAGCUAGUGGGCUUCUCUGGCUACAGCCAGCCCAGGAGCGCUCUGCCUCCUCAGGAGCACUACCCACCUACCUGCCACCCUGCAAGUUGCAGGGCCCCACCUGAGGUCCCUGUUCCUGGAGGAGGAAAUCCCCCACCCCACUUGGCAUGUGUUGGAUUUCCAUAUUGUUGCCUUGAUCGCCUGUUUCUGGUCACCCAAGAGGAGAAGAAUGCUGGAGCGGUGUUUGCCAUUCUGCACCAUGGAACGGACAGUGAUACAUGUAUUCCAACUUGGUCUGAGUCAUGAAGAUGCAGUGAUGCCUUUGAUACCAGGAUGCUGUAAUACACACUCGACCAUUGGUGCAGCAACUGCAGCUUGCUUCAGGUUCUAAUCAGCAAGAAUCUGUAAGGAUGGAAGUGUCACCAGUAAGAUGGAUUCACUGAUGAUGUUAUGGGAUGCAAGAUAUAAUGUAUUUCUGUCUACAAUCACUUGCCAAUUUCAGAAACCUCUUCCCUUGUGUACAGGUAUUCUGUGUAAUGUAUGGAAACAAACACUCUGUCAUAGUGUAACUCUGUUAAUUUCAAAUCCCUAAUCAAAAAUAUACACCCCUUAUAGUAGAGUCUAACCCUAAAUAAUAAAUUACACUUUCAGCCAA